rnacentral:tRNA from 2 species
GUGAGUGUAGCUCAGACGGUUAGAGUAUCUGGUUGUGGCCCAGAAGGUCGGGGGUUCGAAUCCCCUCACUCACCCCA